rnacentral:rRNA from 1 species
GUGAACGCUGGCGGUAUGGAUAAGGCAUGCAAGUCACGGGGGCUCAAUUAGCAAUAGUUGGGCAACCGGCAGACGAGGUAGUAACACGUAGGAACGUCCCCCGAAGUCUCGUAUAGCCCGCCGAAAGGCGGGGUAAUCCGAGAUAGUCUCGCGAGAGUAAAGCUCCGGCGCUUCGGGAGCGGCCUGCGUUGUAUCAGCUAGUUGGUGAGGUAACGGCUCACCAAGGCUAUGACGCAUAGGGGACCUGAGAGGGUGACCCCCACCGAUGAGACUGAGACACGGCUCAUACCUCUACGGAGGGCCGCAGCCGAGAAUAUUCGACAAUGGGCGAAAGCCUGAUCGAGCGAUACCGCGUGGUGGAUGAAGUGCUUCGGCACGUAAACAUCUUUUAUGGAGGAGGAAGUCAUUGACGUUACUCCAUGAAUAAGGGGCUCCUAACUCUGU